rnacentral:rRNA from 1 species
GAUGAACGCUAGCGAUAGGCUUAACACAUGCAAGUCGAGGGGCAGCACAAGGUAGCUUGCUAUCUGGGUGGCGACCGGCGCACGGGUGCGUAACGCGUAUGCAACUUGCCCUAUACAGGAGGAUAACCCGUCGAAAGACGGACUAAUACUGCGUAUGCUCACAACUUGGCAUCAAGUGGUGAGGAAAGAAAUUCGGUAUAGGAUAGGCAUGCGUCCCAUUAGCUUGUUGGUGAGGUAACGGCUCACCAAGGCAACGAUGGGUGGGGGAACUGAGAGGUUUAUCCCCCACACUGGUACUGAGACACGGACCAGACUCCUACGGGAGGCAGCAGUGAGGAAUAUUGGUCAAUGGGCGCGAGCCUGAACCAGCCAAGUCGCGUGAAGGAUGACUGUCUUAUGGAUUGUAAACUUCUUUUAUACGGGAAUAACAAGAGUCACGUGUGACUCCCUGCAUGUACCGUAUGAAUAAGCAUCGGCUAACUCCGUG